rnacentral:rRNA from 1 species
UACGGAGGGUGCGAGCGUUGUCCGGAAUCAUUGGGCGUAAAGGGCGCGUAGGUGGCCCGGUCAGUUCGUGGUGAAAGCGCGGGGCUCAACCCUGCGUCGGCCAUGAAUACUGCCGCGGCUGGAGCACUGUAGAGGCAGGCGGAAUUCCGGGUGUAGCGGUGGAAUGCGUAGAGAUCCGGAAGAACACCGGUGGCGAAGGCGGCCUGCUGGCAGUUGCUGACACUGAGGCGCGACAGCGUGGGGAGCAAACAGG